GACCCGAAACCCGGUGAUCUAGCCAUGGGCAGGUUGAAGGUUGGGUAACACUAACUGGAGGACCGAACCGACUAAUGUUGAAAAAUUAGCGGAUGACCUGUGGCUGGGGGUGAAAGGCCAAUCAAACCGGGAGAUAGCUGGUUCUCCCCGAAAGCUAUUUAGGUAGCGCCUCGUGAAUUCAUCUCCGGGGGUAGAGCACUGUUUCGGCUAGGGGGCCAUCCCGGCUUACCAACCCGAUGCAAACUGCGAAUACCGGAGAAUGUUAUCACGGGAGACACACGGCGGGUGCUAACGUCCGUCGUGAAGAGGGAAACAACCCAGACCGCCAGCUAAGGUCCCAAAGUCAUGGUUAAGUGGGAAACGAUGUGGGAAGGCCCAGACAGCCAGGAUGUUGGCUUAGAAGCAGCCAUCAUUUAAAGAAAGCGUAAUAGCUCACUGGUCGAGUCGGCCUGCGCGGAAGAUGUAACGGGGCUAAACCAUGCACCGAAGCUGCGGCAGCGACACUAUGUGUUGUUGGGUAGGGGAGCGUUCUGUAAGCCUGUGAAGGUGGCCUGUGAGGGUUGCUGGAGGUAUCAGAAGUGCGAAUGCUGACAUAAGUAACGAUAAAGCGGGUGAAAAGCCCGCUCGCCGGAAGACCAAGGGUUCCUGUCCAACGUUAAUCGGGGCAGGGUGAGUCGACCCCUAAGGCGAGGCCGAAAGGCGUAGUCGAUGGGAAACGGGUUAAUAUUCCCGUACUUGGUGUUACUGCGAAGGGGGGACGGAGAAGGCUAUGUUGGCCGGGCGACGGUUGUCCCGGUUUAAGCGUGUAGGUGUGUGUUCCAGGUAAAUCCGGUUCACUUUAACACUGAGGCGUGAUGACGAGGCACUACGGUGCUGAAGCAACAAAUGCCCUGCUUCCAGGAAAAGCCUCUAAGCAUCAGGUAACAUCAAAUCGUACCCCAAACCGACACAGGUGGUCAGGUAGAGAAUACCAAGGCGCUUGAGAGAACUCGGGUGAAGGAACUAGGCAAAAUGGUGCCGUAACU
rnacentral:rRNA from 1 species